rnacentral:rRNA from 1 species
UACAGAGGUCUCAAGCGUUGUUCGGAUUCAUUGGGCGUAAAGCGCUCGCAGGUGGUUCGAUGCGUCGUGCGUGAAAGACCCCGGCUCAACUGGGGUGGGUCGUGCGAUACGGUCGAACUGGAGGCCAGUAGGGGGAUGCGGAAUUCCGGGUGUAGUGGUGGAAUGCGUAGAGAUCCGGAGGAACACCAGCGGCGAAGGCGGCAUCCUGGACUGGUCCUGACACUCAUGAGCGAAAGCGUGGGGAGCGAUCCGG